AACCCAUGGUGGGGGCAAGUUUCUAAUAACCUCUUGAAUCGACUCCAAUACUCAUACAAGGUCUCUUGAUCUUUUUGCAUUAUGCCCGAGAUCUCUUUCCGGAUGUA